rnacentral:rRNA from 1 species
GAUCAUGGCUCAGAGCGAACGCUGGCGGCAGGCCUAACACAUGCAAGUCGAACGGAUCCGUUCGGGAUUAGUGGCGGACGGGUGAGUAACACGUGGGAACGUGCCUUUUGGUUCGGAACAACUCAGGGAAACUUGAGCUAAUACCGAAUGUGCCCUUCGGGGGAAAGAUUUAUCGCCAUUAGAGCGGCCCGCGUCUGAUUAGCUUGUUGGUGAGGUAAAGGCUCACCAAGGCUACGAUCAGUAGCUGGUCUGAGAGGAUGAUCAGCCACAUUGGGACUGAGACACGGCCCAAACUCCUACGGGAGGCAGCAGUGGGGAAUCUUGCGCAAUGGGCGAAAGCCUGACGCAGCCAUGCCGCGUGAAUGAUGAAGGUCUUAGGAUUGUAAAAUUCUUUCACCGGGGACGAUAAUGACGGUACCCGGAGAAGAAGCCCCGGCUAACUUCGUG